GUGCUCAUGUUGGCAACACAUAUACUAAAAUUGGAAUGAUACAGAGAAGAUUAGCAUGGCCCCUGCGCAAGAAAUUCUUGAAGCAUUCCAUAUUUUU
ensembl:snRNA U6 U6 spliceosomal RNA